rnacentral:rRNA from 1 species
CGGGCUACACUUCCACCCUUUGUUAACUACACUUUGUUGCUUUGGCGAGACGCCUUCGGGCCACCGGCUUCGGCGGGUGCGCGCUCGCCAGAGACCCCAAAACCCAAACCUUUUUAGUGUCGUCUGAGAACAAGUUUAAUAAUUAAAACUUUCAACAACGGAUCUCUUGGCUCUGGCAUCGAUGAAGAACGCAGCGAAAUGCGAUAAGUAAUGUGAAUUGCAGAAUUCAGUGAAUCAUCGAAUCUUUGAACGCACAUUGCGCCCCUUGGUAUUCCGGGGGGCAUGCCUGUUCGAGCGUCAUUAUCACCCUCAAGCUCAGCUUGGUCUUGGGGCCCGCCCGUCACAGGGCGGCCCUUAAAAGCAGUGGCGGUGCCAUCUGGCUCUACGCGUAGUAAUACUCCUCGCGACAGAGUCCCGGUGGUCUCCUGCCAGAACCCCAAACUUUUUAAUGAUUGACCUCGGAUCAGGUAGGGAUACCCGCUGAACUUAAGCAUAUCAAUAAGCGGAGGAAAAGAAACCAACAGGGAUUGCCUCAGUAACGGCGAGUGAAGCGGCAAAAGCUCAAAUUUGAAAUCUGGCUCUUUCAGGGUCCGAGUUGUAAUUUGUAGAAGAUGCUUUGGGUGUGGCUCUGGUUUAAGUUCUUUGGAAUAUUACAUCAUAGAGGGUGAGAAUCCCGUAUGUGACCAGUCGCCGCCCCCGUGUAAAGCUCUUUCAACGAGUCGAGUUGUUUGGGAAUGCAGCUCANAAUGGGAGGUAUAUUUCUUCUAAAGCUAAAUAUUGGCCAGAGACCGAUAGCGCACAAGUAGAGUGAUCGAAAGAUGAAAAGCACUUUGNAAAGAGAGUUAAACAGUACGUGAAAUUGNUGAAAGGGNNAGCGCUUGCAACCAGA